CCAAAACACCCCUUUUUCAGAAUUCUUUCUUUUCCUUACUUCGUCUUCAUCCUCCUGAUAAAUAUAUGGUAAUCUAUGUUGAGGUUUUCACCAACGUUGAUUGGUGAGGCUCAACAUCACCAAUCAAAUAAAGAGAGAAAUUGGGACUCUAAAGAUUUUGAGGCAUCCUAAUGUUGUCAGAUUGCAUGAGGUAGGUUUGUGGUGCUUCCUUCACUCAACCAAACAAUUGGUGAAUAAAAUCUGAAUUUCAUGGGAAGUUUUCAUCCAUUUGUUCAUCUAACAUGUAUCCAAUAACUUUAACUUGUUAUUGACAGUUUAACCAAGCUUCAAAUUGACAGACAUCACGGAGCUCUGGCACAGAAUUACAAGAAUUGUGAUAUUUUCUUGCUCAUUGGCCUGGAAAUUGGUGCAACUCCAUUUAUCAGCAUUCUGAAGGAUUUUUUGAACAAUAUUAAAACGAAUGCUGCAGUGGAUACCAAUAACUGAGGUGACAUAAUUUUCUUAUCUAGCUUUUUGGUGGCAUACAUUACAACGGUUUGAAAUCAAUGUAGGAAGGUUCAACAUCAAAUGGAAAAGGAAAGGGUCCAGGGAGGGCAUAUUUCUACUGAGUUACAAGAGAACAAGCCUCAUUUGAGUGGUUCAAAGGUGUCAUGAAUGAUGUUGCAGGGCAUGAUCAAAAUGUGGGUUGCAAAGUAGCUAUUUGAACCGGCAUUUUUACUCUAUUGUUGUGUCUGUAAUUUCAAUUGCACAAGACUGGUGUCAAAAUGCAGUCUCUAACAAUGUAAAUAUUCGGUGGUCUUAUGAACCACCUUGCUGUGUAAACUCAUCACCUCAACUUGAAUGGGGUUUAUUUGAUAACUAAACCAAGUUAUUUGCA